rnacentral:pre_miRNA from 1 species
UUAAUACUGCCUCCGUCCAAUAAAAAAUGUCUCAAGUUUCUUAAAAUUUGAAUGUGUCUGAAUGUUACUUAGUGUAUAGAUACAUUCAAAUUUAAUCAAAAUUGAGAUAUCUAUUGUUGUACAGAGCCAGUACUGG